UGGGGAAUAUUGCGCAAUGGGCGGAAGUCUGACGCAGCGACGCCGCGUGGGGGAUGACGGCCUUCGGGUUGUAAACCUCUUUCAGCAGGGACGAAGCUAACGUGACGGUACCUGCAGAAGAAGCGCCGGCUAACUACGUGCCAGCAGCCGCGGUAAUACGUAGGGCGCAAGCGUUGUCCGGAAUUAUUGGGCGUAAAGAGCUCGUAGGCGGUUUGUCGCGUCUGUCGUGAAAGCCCACGGCUUAACUGUGGGUCUGCGGUGGAUACGGGCAGACUAGAGGCAGGUAGGGGAGAAUGGAAUUCCCGGUGUAGCGGUGAAAUGCGCAGAUAUCGGGAGGAACACCGGUGGCGAAGGCGGUUCUCUGGGCCUGUACUGACGCUGAGGAGCGAAAGCGUGGGGAGCGAACAGGAUUAGAUACCC
rnacentral:rRNA from 1 species